AGGGAGUUCAGCAGGGUAUGGAAGAAGAGAUAUGUAAUAGCUAGUGUGGACAUGUAUAUGUAAAGAGAUUGUAGUUAUGUAAUAAGAUGUAUAGACUUGUGCUUGAUUCGUUAGAGUGAUCCCCAGUUAUGUAUACAUGAUCAGUUUUUAUAUGUAUGUAUCUUUUCUUGUUGAUGUAUAUGAGAAAACCAGGCUUAACAUUAUGAGUUUAUCCGCUUAGAGACGGAUAAGAGAGAGCAGAAACAGUGCAUGCACAGGUUAAGCCCUGGAGGAAAGAACAGUUUUAAUGGUUUGACAAAAAAAGUAUGAUCAUGUAUGGGAUUUCACAGGUACACAGACAGGAUAGCAGGCUUACUACGGGUCCCG
rnacentral:lncRNA from 1 species